rnacentral:rRNA from 1 species
UACGUAGGGUGCAAGCGUUAAUCGGAAUUACUGGGCGUAAAGCGUGCGCAGGCGGUUGUGCAAGCCCGAUGUGAAAUCCCCGGGCUUAACCUGGGAACUGCAUUGGUGACUGCACGGCUAGAGUGUGUCAGAGGGGGGUAGAAUUCCACGUGUAGCAGUGAAAUGCGUAGAUAUGUGGAGGAAUACCGAUGGCGAAGGCAGCCCCCUGGGAUAACACUGACGCUCAUGCACGAAAGCGUGGGGAGCAAACAGG